rnacentral:rRNA from 1 species
AACACCCGAUCCCAUUCCGAACUCGGCCGUGAAACGCUCCAGCGCCCAUGAUACUUCGUCUCAAGACGCGGGAAAGUCGGUCGCCGCCA